rnacentral:rRNA from 1 species
UACGUAGGGUGCGAGCGUUAAUCGGAAUUACUGGGCGUAAAGCGUGCGCAGGCGGUUUGUUAAGUCUGAUGUGAAAGCCCCGGGCUCAACCUGGGAACUGCAUUGGAAACUGGCAAGCUCGAGUAUGGCAGAGGGGGGUGGAAUUCCGCGUGUAGCAGUGAAAUGCGUAGAGAUGUGGAGGAACACCGAUGGCGAAGGCAGCCCCCUGGGCCGACACUGACGCUCAUGCACGAAAGCGUGGGGAGCAAACAGG